CACAAACGUCCAUAAACUGUCAUCCUUAAUUUAUAAAUCCUAACGCUAACCCUAAAUUCUCAAAUUUCCUUCCCAGAUCCCCCCCCCCCGUUCAUCCCAUUCUGUUCCCCGGCAAGACCAUCAUGUUGAUAACUUAAGAUAGAAGGGCCAUUAAAACCAAUGUCAAUAUCCCCACCGGCCAAGUCAUUUCCUAAACACACAGCCCACCAGAAUCAACUGAACAAAAGUUUCUAAUGUAAGAUUCCUCUCUUUCACAAGGUUUCCGAAAAUCGUUUAACUGUGACUAAAAAUAGACAAUUGUUGUCACACACAUUUAAUGCACUAGGAGAAUUUUGGUUAACUCUCUGCUGCUUGUUUUUCCAGAUGAAAUAGAGUUUUGUGAUUUUUUUAUUUUUUUAUUUGAAAUUAUUAAUUUUUAGUGUUUUUGGAUGAUGAUUUGAUUUUUUCAUUUUUCUUGCAAAUAUUCAGAGCUUUCAUAAUGUGAACAAGGUGUCAUCAUUGAGUUCAUCAAUAUCUAUAUCAAUUUCCUCCUCUCCACUAUCCCUCCCGCUUAAACAAUGUUCCCUCAAGAAAUCAAUUAUAUUUACAUGCAUUUCUCCCAACAGAAACUCUAACUCUCUACCAGCUUUCCAGGCUUUGGCAUAAUGUCAUGCAUUUCUCCCAACGCAGACUUCAAUUCUCUACCUAAAUUGAGCCUCUUUUCAUAUGUCAUUCCUAGCUUUCCAAGCUCUGACAUGAUGUCAUGUUGGAAAGAAGUUACUUCCCUCUUUUUUGCCGGAGACAUUUCAGCAGUUUUAAAAGUCUUCAUGAGGGCCUAAAUUUGAUGAUUUUAGGGUUUGUGGGAAAGGUGGUAUUUUUAGGGGGGUUCCAGACAAGAAAAAGAAAGCGAGAUCUGUCAUUUAUUCACUGAAUUUCAUCUCAUUUAGUUUUUGUAAGAUCUGACUUGUUGGGAAAAUUAUUCUGAAAGGAGAUUUAUUGGGAUUCGGUUAUGAAUUUCGAGGAGUUUUUUUAACACAGUUUUGUAAUUUUGAUACUGUAAGAGUAUUUUAAUCGUUAAUUAAAAUAUAAUGAUAAUUUUAUAAAAAAAAAUAGAUUUUUAAAAUUUUUCUUGCAUUUAUAAAGUUCCUGUAAUUUUUAAAACAACGAAGCAUCAUGAAAAAAUGACUAAAAGUAAAUCCCUAUAAGAAGCCAAACCUGAAACAGCUCCAAUUUCAAAUUUAGAGCUUGGCGCUCUAACCAAUCCCUCUCCGGUGCUCUUUCGAAAAAACCUAAACUCAUUCCUCUGUCUCAAGAGAAAAAGAAAGCGAAAAUGGGGGGCUCUCAAAGCCGUGAAGAUCUGGAGCUCUCAGACUCGGACACAGAGGGCCAACAAGAAGAAGAAACGGAAGAAGAAGAAGAAAACUACCAAGAUGUCAGCAAUGAAACCCCAGAAAAAUCAUCCUCCACGGGAAGAAACAGACCCAAAACCCCAUCUUCUCUUGAUGAAGUCGAAUCCAAGCUUAAAGCCCUAAAACUCAAAUACCCCUCAACAACAACCCGAACCCAGCAGAGUCCUAACUCUAAUUUUAAAAAUGGUGUCAAACUUUACCUUCAUAUCGGCGGUAACACCCCAAAAGCCAAAUGGGUUACUUCAGAGAAGUUGACUUCUUAUUCUUUCAUCAAGACCUCAAAAAUUAAUGGUCAAGAUGAAGAGGACGACUCGGAGUCAGAAUCUGAAGGAGUUUCUUGGUGGGUUUUGAAGGUUAGUACAAAAAUUAGAGCGAAAGUCGCUGUUGAGAUGCAAUUGAAAACAUUUAAGGAACAGCGCCGCGUUGAUUUUGUUGCUGACGGUGUUUGGGCUAUAAAGUUUUUCAGUGAUGAAGAUUAUAAGGUUUUUAAUAGCAAGUACCAGGAAUGUUUGUUUGAGAAUACUUUUGGGUACGAGUCCAAUGAAGCAAACAAGGUUAAGGUUUACGGGAAGGAUUUUGUUGGGUGGGCGAACCCGGAAAAGGCAGAUGAUUCUAUGUGGGAGGAUGCAGAGGAUGAUUUCUUAAAAAGCCCUGGAUCUGUGACCCCUGUGAGGGGAAAUCAAGAUCUGCAAGAGGAAUUUGAGGAGGCAGCCAAUGGAGGGAUACAGAGCUUGGCAUUGGGUGCGCUGGAUAAUAGUUUCUUGGUGGGUAGUUCAGGGAUUCAGGUCGUUAAGAACUUUAGCCACGGGAUUCAUGGAAAGGGUGCUUAUGUCAAUUUUGGAAGUGGGAAUCAUAGGAGUUCUUCGAAUUUGGUGCAUUCGACUCCUAAAAAGGCACUUCUUAUGCGGGCUGAGACUAAUAUGUUGCUUAUGAGUCCGAUGAAUGAAGGGAAAUUGCAUUCUACUGGUUUGCAUCAACUUGAUAUAGAGACUGGGAAGAUUAUUACUGAGUGGAGGUUUGAAAAGGAUGGAACUGAUAUUACCAUGAGGGAUAUUGCAAAUGAUAGCAAGGGAGCACAGUUGGAUCCGUCAGGAUCUACAUUUUUGGGAUUGGAUGACAAUAGGCUUUGCAGGUGGGAUAUGCGUGACCGGCAUGGGAUUGUUCAAAAUCUUGCUACAGCUAAUACUCCUGUUCUGAAUUGGACUCAAGGACAUCAGUUUUCAAGAGGUACUAACUUCCAGUGCUUUGCGAGCACAGGUGAUGGAUCAAUUGUUGUUGGGUCUCGUGAUGGGAAGAUUCGAUUGUAUUCAGGCAAUUCGAUGCGGCAGGCAAAAACAGCUUUUCCUGGCCUGGGAUCACCUAUUACUCAUGUUGAUGUUACCUUUGAUGGGAAGUGGAUAUUGGGCACCACCGAUACAUAUUUGAUCCUUAUCUGCACUCUUUUCACAGACAAGGAUGGUAAGAUGAAGACUGGUUUUAAUGGUCGUAUGGGUAACAGGAUUGCAGCUCCGAGAUUGUUGAAGCUGACUCCUCUGGAUUCACAUCUAGCUGGAGUUAAUAACAAGUUCCAAAAGGCUCAGUUCUCUUGGGUCACAGAGAAUGGGAAGCAGGAGCGCCAUUUGGUUGCAACAGCUGGCAAGUUCAGUGCGAUAUGGAACUUCCAGCAGGUAAAGAAUGGUUCCCAUGAGUGCUAUCGUAAUCAAGAGGGCUUGAAGAGCUGUUACUGCUACAAGGUAGUCCUUAAGGAUGACUCCAUUGUUGAUAGCCGUUUCAUGCAUGACAAGUUUGCAGUCAGCGAUUCUCCUGAGGCUCCACUGGUGAUUGCAACCCCCAUGAAAGUCAGCUCCUUCAGCAUAUCCAGCAGGCGCUGAUUGCUGAAUAUUGCUCCCCAGUUGAUCACUCUCUCGGUGUCCGAAAUGCUUUUCUAAAAUUUCUGAAUUGUAUUUUUUAAUUUUUGAUUAACUAGCAGGUUGGAGUGCUGUCGUGAUUUCUUGUUCCUUUUCCCCCUUCUGCUUGCUGUUGUGAAGUUAGGCUGCCCGGCAUCCUCCCUGGCUGUUUGAUUGGCCAUCAUAAAUUUAGUGGGAGUUUGUGGGACUAUGUUGUCUUCGUAUGGAUGAGUUCUUAUUUUGGAUGGUAGUUGUAUACGUAGCUAUGAUGGAUGCCUUCGGUAACCACUCGCUUGUAUAGAGAGAGGGAGAGAAGAAAAAAUGGCUGUUGCAACGGGUAGAGCUUUCCUUAUUCAGCCAUGUUUUUCUUCUUCGUUACGCUCCUUGCCUAAGAACAUAAAUAAGUCAUCAUAUGGUGCAGCAGAUGUGUUUUGCCUGCCAAACCAGGAAGCACUCCUUGCACACCACUUGUGGUUCAUGCCCAACAGCGACCCACAUGGCUUCCUGGGCUUGAUCCUCCACCAUAUCUUGAUGGAACGUGAGCCGCUCACUGUGCUCUGUUUAAUUCUCGAUCUGAACUUAAAAAUUUCUGUUUGUUGUUUAUGUUUUGCUUAAUCUUGCUGUGUUUCUCUAAGUUUAGUUUGGCAGGAGAGUUUGGGUUUGACCCACUUGGCCUUGGAGAGGAUCCGGAAAGUGGUAUGUGAAGGCAGAGUUGGUCCAUGCGCCAUGGCUGGAGUUGCGGGAAUUCUUUUCACAGAUGUGAGUUACACAAAACCCGUCUCGGGUUAAAACUAGUGCUGAAAUAAGUCAUUGAGUGAUUGUAAAUAUAAACAAUCAAAUGUAUAAAUUAUAUUACCUAUAAUAUUAGAAUUGUGUCAUGUUAUUUACUA